rnacentral:lncRNA from 1 species
UGUAAACGAGUCAACACAGUUCGGGCUCGAUUCGAGCUCGACUCGAAAAAAUACGAGCGAGACUCGGAUUCGUUAAUAAUAUGAUCCAAAUCUGAGCAUUAAAAAUAGUUCGAAUAAAAAUAUGAGUAGAAUUUGAGCAAGGUUAUACUCGACUCGUUUAAGAUUCAAACUACUCGAAAUUUUUAUUGUGAUUCGAUACAUACUCGGUUAAUACAUAUUCGAUUGCAUGUUCGAUACAUUCUCU